CAGCAGCCGCGGGAAUACCGAGGGUGCAAGCGUUAAUCGGAAUUACUGGGCGUAAAGCGCGCGUAGGUGGUUUGUUAAGUUGGAUGUGAAAGCCCCGGGCUCAACCUGGGAACUGCAUCCAAAACUGGCAAGCUAGAGUACGGUAGAGGGUGGUGGAAUUUCCUGUGUAGCGGUGAAAUGCGUAGAUAUAGGAAGGAACACCAGUGGCGAAGGCGACCACCUGGACUGAUACUGACACUGAGGUGCGAAAGCGUGGGGAGCAAACAGGAUUAGAUACCCCCGUAGUCCCUGUCUCUUAUAC
rnacentral:rRNA from 1 species